rnacentral:piRNA from 1 species
UACCAGAAGUUGCUGAGUUUUGCUGCUGCGC